rnacentral:tRNA from 30 species
GCCACCUUAGCUCAGACGGCAGAGCGAUUCACUCGUAAUGAAUAGGUCAAGGGUUCGAUUCCCUUAGGUGGCUCCA